rnacentral:rRNA from 1 species
CUUAACACAUGCAAGUCGAGGGGCAGCAUGGUCUUAGCUUGCUAAGGCCGAUGGCGACCGGCGCACGGGUGAGUAACACGUAUCCAACCUGCCGUCUACUCUUGGACAGCCUUCUGAAAGGAAGAUUAAUACAAGAUGGCAUCAUGAGUCCGCAUGUUCACAUGAUUAAAGGUAUUCCGGUAGACGAUGGGGAUGCGUUCCAUUAGAUAGUAGGCGGGGUAACGGCCCACCUAGUCUUCGAUGGAUAGGGGUUCUGAGAGGAAGGUCCCCCACAUUGGAACUGAGACACGGUCCAAACUCCUACGGGAGGCAGCAGUGAGGAAUAUUGGUCAAUGGGCGAGAGCCUGAACCAGCCAAGUAGCGUGAAGGAUGACUGCCCUAUGGGUUGUAAACUUCUUUUAUAAAGGAAUAAAGUCGGGUAUGGAUACCCGUUUGCAUGUACUUUAUGAAUAAGGAUCGGCUAACUCCGUGCCAGCAGCCGCGGUAAUACGGAGGAUCCGAGCGUUAUCCGGAUUUAUUGGGUUUAAAGGGAGCGUAGAUGGAUGUUUAAGUCAGUUGUGAAAGUUUGCGGCUCAACCGUAAAAUUGCAGUUGAUACUGGAUAUCUUGAGUGCAGUUGAGGCAGGCGGAAUUCGUGGUGUAGCGGUGAAAUGCUUAGAUAUCACGAAGAACUCCGAUUGCGAAGGCAGCCUGCUAAGCUGCAACUGACAUUGAGGCUCGAAAGUGUGGGUAUCAAACAGGAUUAGAUACCCUGGUAGUCCACACGGUAAACGAUGAAUACUCGCUGUUUGCGAUAUACUGCAAGCGGCCAAGCGAAAGCGUUAAGUAUUCCACCUGGGGAGUACGCCGGCAACGGUGAAACUCAAAGGAAUUGACGGGGGCCCGCACAAGCGGAGGAACAUGUGGUUUAAUUCGAUGAUACGCGAGGAACCUUACCCGGGCUUAAAUUGCAGAUGAAUUACGGUGAAAGCCGUAAGCCGCAAGGCAUCUGUGAAGGUGCUGCAUGGUUGUCGUCAGCUCGUGCCGUGAGGUGUCGGCUUAAGUGCCAUAACGAGCGCAACCCUUGUUGUCAGUUACUAACAGGUUCCGCUGAGGACUCUGACAAGACUGCCAUCGUAAGAUGUGAGGAAGGUGGGGAUGACGUCAAAUCAGCACGGCCCUUACGUCCGGGGCUACACACGUGUUACAAUGGGGGGUACAGAGGGCCGCUACCACGCGAGUGGAUGCCAAUCCCCAAAACCUCCCUCAGUUCGGACUGGAGUCUGCAACCCGACUCCACGAAGCUGGAUUCGCUAGUAAUCGCGCAUCAGCCACGGCGCGGUGAAUACGUUCCCGGGCCUUGUACACACCGCCCGUCAAGCCAUGGGAGCCGGGGGUACCUGAAGUGCGUAACCGAGAGGAGCGCCCUAGGGUAAAACUGGUGACUGGGGCUAA